AGAGUUUGAUCAUGGCUCAGAGCGAACGUUAGCGGCGGGCCUAACACAUGCAAGUCGAACGAGAAUGUAGGCUUCGGUCUACUAGUAAAGUGGCGGACGGGUGCGUAACACGUGGGUAAUCUACCUUCCGGCGGGGGACAACAGUCCGAAAGGAUUGCUAAUACCGCAUACGUCAGCGGCGCCUACGGGCGCUGUUGGGAAAGACGGCCUCUCCUUGGAAGCUGUCACCGGAAGAUGAGCCCGCGCCCCAUCAGCUAGUUGGUGAGGUAAUGGCUCACCAAGGCUUAGACGGGUAGCUGGUCUGAGAGGAUGAUCAGCCACACUGGGACUGCGACACGGCCCAGACUCCUACGGGAGGCAGCAGUGGGGAAUAUUGGGCAAUGGGCGAAAGCCUGACCCAGCCACGCCGCGUGAGUGAUGAAGGCCUUCGGGUCGUAAAGCUCUGUGGGGAGGGACGAACAAAUCUGGGGCUAAUCACCCGGGUCCUGACGGUACCUCCUUAGCAAGCACCGGCUAACCCUGUGCCAGCAGCCGCGGUAAUACAGGGGGUGCAAACGUUGCUCGGAAUCAUUGGGCGUAAAGCGCACGUAGGCGGUUUGUUAUGUCGGAUGUGAAAGCCCUUGGCUCAACUGAGGAAGUGCAUCCGAAACUGGCAAGCUAGAGUACUAAAGAGGGUCGCGGAAUUCCCGGUGUAGAGGUGAAAUUCGUAGAUAUCGGGAGGAACACCGGUGGCGAAGGCGGCGACCUGGGUAGAUACUGACGCUGAGGUGCGAAAGCGUGGGGAGCAAACAGGAUUAGAUACCCUAGUAGUCC
rnacentral:rRNA from 1 species